UCCAGACUCCUACGGGAGGCAGCAGUGAGGAAUAUUGGUCAAUGGGCGCGAGCCUGAACCAGCCAAGUCGCGUGAGGGAGGACGGCCCUACGGGUUGUAAACCUCUUUUGCCGGGGAGCAAAGGGCGCCACGUGUGGCGUUUUGCGAGUACCUGAAGAAAAAGCAUCGGCUAACUCCGUGCCAGCAGCCGCGGUAAUACGGAGGAUGCGAGCGUUAUCCGGAUUUAUUGGGUUUAAAGGGUGCGCAGGCGGAAUGUCAAGUCAGCGGUAAAAUUUCGGGGCUCAACCCCGUCGUGCCGUUGAAACUGGCGUUCUUGAGUGAGCGAGAAGUAUGCGGAAUGCGUGGUGUAGCGGUGAAAUGCAUAGAUAUCACGCAGAACUCCGAUUGCGAAGGCAGCAUACCGGCGCUCAACUGACGCUCAUGCACGAAAGCGUGGGUAUCGAACAGGAUUAGAUACCCCAGUA
rnacentral:rRNA from 1 species